UAGCGAAGGGGGCUAGCGUUGCUCGGAAUACUGGGCGUAAAGGGCGCGUAGGCGGCACUGUUAGUCAGGCGUGAAAGUCCUGGGCUCAACCUGGGAACUGCGCUUGAUACGGCAGAGCUAGAGGAUGGAAGAGGCUCGCGGAAUUCCCAGUGUAGAGGUGAAAUUCGUAGAUAUUGGGAAGAACACCGGUGGCGAAGGCGGCGAGCUGGUCCAUUACUGACGCUGAGGCGCGACAG
rnacentral:rRNA from 1 species